rnacentral:rRNA from 1 species
GCCUGGCCCUAAAUCUCGAUGCUCGAUCUUACCGGAGCAUCCGCCCGAGAACUACGAGCACCAACGCUUAAAACUCUAAGGACUUGGCGGUGCUCCAAACCCACCUAGAGGAGCCUGUUCUGUAAUCGAUGAUCCACGAUAUACCUGACCAUUCCUUGCCAAGUCAGCCUAUAUACCGCCGUCGCCAGCCCACCCAGCAUGAAGGACCAACAGUGGACGCAAUAGCCUAACCCGCUAGUAAGACAGGUCAAGGUAUAGCCUAUGGAAUGGUGGUAAUGGGCUACAUUUUCUAAGCUAGAACAUACGGCAAAGGGAUAUGAAACUGUCCCUGGAAGGAGGAUUUAGCCAGUAAAGUGGGACAAUCGAGCCCUCUUUAAGCCGGCCCUGGAGCACGU